rnacentral:lncRNA from 1 species
CAUUCUAACAAUGUUGGAAGGGUUAGAAUUGAGUUCUAAAAGAGUUAGAAGGGUUUUAGCGUUGCUCGGCGUGAAUUGGAGUCGAAGCGAUGCAGAACUGAAAUUCUGGAAUAUGUGUUACCAGUUUAACACCAGGGGUGUACUGGUACAGUAUGGUUGUAACGAAGUGAAUUCUCGAGAGCCGAGAUUUGGACUUCGUCCGGGAUCGGCUAGUUAUCGAGUGGGUAUGUAAUAUACCGAAAUUUCGGUAACCAAGUAUCGAACCUUGGUCAAAUUGACCAAAGAGUGAGGUUGGUACACCUUGGAAAGGCCGAAGGCGUCAAAUAAUGCAAAAGUGCAUUACUGGGGAUCUUCGAGAGCUAGGGAUUUGAAAAUCUGCUAACUGCAGGUUUUCUACUCUCGGAGACCGGUCCCUGUCGGAAGAAACCGGUCCCCGCACGCGCAGGCAGCAAGAGGAGAGGAAAAUCGGCUAAGUCCUUGGUGGACAGCUCUCGGAGACCGGUCCCUGCUGGAGAGACCGGUCCCUGAGAGACCGGUCCCCCAAAGAAAGACCGGAUGCAUCGGGCGUGAGCUCUGCUGACUGUGGGGAGAAGCUCUCGGAGACCGGUCCCUCGUCGGGGAGACCGGUCCCCGAACCCGAAAGUGGCCCAGUGAGGGCAAUGUAAAAGAAUAAAAGUUGAGGGGCUUGUUUGCACUUAUGCAACAUGUGGGGCUAUGCGAGGGGUAUGAGAGCUCUUUUCUCUUAUUUCUCACCCACACACCCCCUCAUAUCUCUCUUUCUCUCUCUAGAAUACAAGAAGAGAAAGAAGAAAGGGAAGGACAGAAAGAGAAGGAGAAGGAGGUCUUCAUCAUCUUCUUCAUCUUCUCCUUGGUUGGAGCUUCUUGGAGAGGUAAGCUUCUAAGCUCCUUCUCAUGGUGGAUUUCUAGAGAUAGGUUCUCUAGAAAUGGAGUUUUGUAUUAUGUGAGGGCGUAGUACCUGCCAGUACAGGUAUAGAGCCAGAUGGCACUAGCGAAGUGCUAGAAGUAAUCUAUGGCGAGAAGUGAGACUCGCGGUAGAGAUAGAAGUGUCGAAAUGACUCUCAGAGCAAUAUGAGUAGUAAAUUGCGAGAGUCGAGCCAUAAUGCCUAUGGGCACCCGAGUAGUCUGAAAAUUUCGGAUGUCAUUCCGGUAGAUCGAACAGUAAAAGUAGCAUUACUGUUGAGAGAACGGUCGAUUCGCGGCCAAGUUUGAGCACGUGGGCCUAGUAGUACCUCAAGGUGAGGUAGGCGGUUGUGCUCGUGCGAUCGGCGAGCAUAGGCAAGAUUGCCUAAUGCUGGACUUCGUGUGGAACGCUGUAGAGGCGUAGAGCGCUCGAAUGUAGAUACCCGUAGAGUGCGGAUGUGGAUUCAGCUGAGAGAGUGUAUUGGCAGUAGCACUUGAGCAUUGCUAGGUGUGAAGCGUGCCAUGGAUCACUCGUGGGACUGGUGACUCGCAUUAGGUGCAUAGUAGCCGGUAGUGAUACGUGUGACUCGGUAGAGCAUGUCGUGUAGGACGACGACGGCGGGUAGUGCUUGGGGACGACCCGUGCCUGGACCAUUUGUGGACUGUGGAGCCUGGGCCCUUUGGGCAGGCGCAGUCAGUUGUGAGUGACAGCGGCCCGGUACCUACAGGUAGGGCAGAGUUUUGGUCGGGGUGGUAGUCCGAGCUUAGACCCGAAAAGCGUGGAAUGCUAUGCG